GAUGAACGCUGGCGGCGUGCCUAAUACAUGCAAGUCGAGCGAACGGACGAGAAGCUUGCUUUUCUGAUGUUAGCGGCGGACGGGUGAGUAACACGUGGAUAACCUACCUAUAAGACUGGGAUAACUUCGGGAAACCGGAGCUAAUACCGGAUAAUAUUUUGAACCGCAUGGUUCAAAAGUGAAAGACGGUCUUGCUGUCACUUAUAGAUGGAUCCGCGCUGCAUUAGCUAGUUGGUAAGGUAACGGCUUACCAAGGCAACGAUGCAUAGCCGACCUGAGAGUGUGAUUGACCACACUGGAACUGAGACAAGGUCCAGACUCCUACGGGAGGCAGCAGUAGGGAAUCUUCCGCAAUGGGCGAAAGCCUGACGGAGCAACGCCGCGUGAGUGAUGAAGGUCUUCGGAUCGUAAAACUCUGUUAUUAGGGAAGAACACAUGUGUAAGUAACUGUGCACAUCUUGACGGUACCUAAUCAGAAAGCCACGGCUAACUACGUG
rnacentral:rRNA from 1 species